rnacentral:lncRNA from 1 species
ACUCGUAAAGUUUUGCGAUAUUCGCGGUCGCAUCGGAAUACGUCUCUCGGACGGCUUUUCCCGACAACACCGUCGAAAUGGUUUUGACAAGUUUUCCGCUUUUUACGCUCGAGGGACACGCGAAGCCAAACCUAAAGAAACUAUCGAGUUAGCUGCCCUCGCUAAGAAAUCAAGCCAGCCAGCGACACAACAUUGAUUCUCCAAUGAAAUAACUGAUCCAGCUCUCAAUAAAUUCAAAACUUACCUUUAGUUUUGACACUUCGCGUAAUUCCGGCUUCGAAGUAUCACUUCAGGUGCAUCUUCAUCAUCUAUAUGUGGAGAAAGUCUUGUUAAUAUGGCGGCGAUGAGGUAAACAGAUAGGAAGUGAUGGAGUGGCAGACCCACGGGGGAGAACCACAUGAGGUGUGACAGACCACUGACAUCAGCCCUUGUUCUCUUGCUCAUUCGCUCACUCUCUCCCGCACACACGCUCAUUUCCAGGAAGGGGUCAUUAAUGUGUGGGGAAAAAAAAACUGAAUCUAGUCGUGGCUUUAAAAUGGAGUAUCUUCUCAUCGAGAUGCAAUCAUUCCUAACUGGUCUGAGUCAGACUGCAGAGCUCAGAGGAAAAGCUUUUAAUUCCUCCAUCCCAGAAACCAAAUAUACAUCAUUUUAUCAUCAAAGCAUGGUUUGAAGGGGCAAAAAAAAGUACAUUUCAUGUUUUAUUUCAGAGCAGCUCCCUUAAGUGGUGGCAGAGUUCAUCUUAACCUGACCAAUAAAGCGAGGAAACCAUCCGCUUUUCAACAUACCAGGCCGCUUAUAAAACUACAGCAUCGGUUCUAACAUCCGUACAGUAGUUAAAUGUUCACAUUUAACAGUCGUAAUUGACAUUUUCCCUCGCUCCCUUCAGCAAUGAUAUAUCAAAGAGUGCAUCAGCCGCCGGAGGAGGAGAGAAAACAUUAGGAGGAUUAAUAAAGGGGGGGAGGAAAAUAGAUUGAGCGUUCACCAAGAUCAGUAAAAUAGGAUCUGUCAAGCAACCCUGCAACAUCCAUCCUGUGGAAGACGAAGAAAAAAAAAGACAGAGGUACAUUUUCAUGGAUGGAAGGAAGGAAAAACAGAGGACAGCCUGUGCGGCUGAUCAAUUUCCCAAGAUUAGCUUUCAGCGGCUGCGCCUGCUUCCAUUUGUAAAGAUAAUAUUAUUUAAUAACCCUUUUGGGUGACUGUUUAAAUGAUCGCAGUGCCUACAGUGCAAGGCGCUAAUGGAAAUAUUUAACAUAAAUUCCCUUUUAAAAAUGAGGCCUUAAACAACAGUUGUAAGAAUUAUUCUGAAAUUAAAGGAGUGUGCAUAAAUGAUUCUCCCUGGCCUUGAUGCACUGCUCUCAAUUACAUUCUGCUCAGCUGGAACAAUGGAACGACGCUAGCUUUAUCGCGCACUUAUAUACACACAUGCGCUGUUACGAAUGUCAUAUGGAAGCUAUUUAUGGCUACUAGCAUCGGUGCCAAGGGCAUUGAAAACAAGGAUGUUAUUGCAUCAAUUCCGAAUGUGCUCGCUUGGCUUUUGUUGUGCGCCUUCAAAGACAGACAUGUGAAAAGCAACCAAGAGAGAGACAAAGCUGUGAGCGCUCCUCAGUCUUAUUCACCUUCAACUUCUUUUUAAUGAUCUCAUUUCAAAACACCUUCCUGCGAACCUCCCCUUUCCUGUCUGGCUAACGCUAAAUUGCAUAAUGCCAACUGAACGCUCGCAUUUGUUCUCCCUUUCCCUUCUGAGGAAAUCUAUUUAAAUGUUUCACGCCAACUGUCAGUCUGCAUCAAACCUUGAUUUAUGCAAAAACAACGUCUGCUUUAAUUAGUCAUUUCGCCUCAGCGCUGCCUGUGCUCUAGGCGAAGAGCGGGGUCAGACAUUCGGAGGAUCCUCCUUUUUGUAUGAUCAAAACUAGGCCAUCAGCAACACCGUGGUAAUAGCCGUGUCUCAACACCCUGGCAACAUGCUCUAGUGUGUGUGUGUGUGUGCUCGAGUGUGUUUUUAUCCCCCAUGAGCCAUCCAUCUCCACUCAGCAGGGUGGUUUUGGGUGGAGCAGGGAUAAUCACAGCAGUCACUAUACACCUGGAGGACUGCAAAAUCAUAAACAACUAACAGGUAGUUCUUCCCAGUCAGCUCUCGAUACUUUCCCAGGCAUCCUGAGAGUGAAAAGAAGAACAGAAUAGGAUGUUUACACUGCAACAUUACACUAAUCAAGAGAAAAUGAGCUUGCAUUAAAACACACCGCAUUAUGCACUUGUAAGGGAUUAGCGUCCAUGAUCUUCAAAACGAAAGUAAACUGCACCAUGUGUUUUUGCCGAUUGCCACACUUCUUGAUUAUCACAAUCGCAAUCAUGUAGUGCAAACAAAAGUGGCUGAAAGCUCCAGCUAAUUUCGCCGGCUGACAUUUCAGAUGGAAAACUCAGCAAACAGAUGCUCUGAAGACACUGAGAGAGAGAGAGAGAGAGAAACUCUUGUCAGAUGUUGGGGAAGUGCGUGUGAGUAACGACGAUCACAUGAAUGGGAGGGCAGACGAACUUAUUCUCACCACCAAUUCUAUUUCGGGCUCUGUGCAGUGCUUCGCUGACUGAAGUGGCAUUGUGUCCUUUGUGAACGCAUGACCCUCUGAGGUGCGUUCGUGUGCUGUGAACCUCAGCCAGGAAAAAAGCAGGAGGCUGGAGACCAGUGGAAGGCGUGGGAAAGCGACUAGCAAACGGUGGAAAAGCCGAGCGGUCUGCAGGCAUUCCUUUGUGAUUACACAUCUGUGAAGAAGGAGGCCAGACAUUCUUUCAGCCAUGUCUGAAGCUGCUGACUUCUACCCUCGAUCCGUUUGCUGCUGCUGUUGUUGUUGUUUUUUUUAAACUAAGUUGUGACUGCAGACUGCAUUUCCUAUGACAUGCUCUGAAUCAGCCCCCUUUUAACUUUUCUACUCAGUUUUACGUCUGUAUGAAAUCUAAAUUUACAAUGUUAAUUUUUGUUGCGAACGUUGUUAUUCUUUAGGUGAACCAUUGAUUUCUUCAACAAAAAAAGUUUUGCGUUUGGAGUGUUCAGUUGACGUCAACUUGACAAGUUCAACCACACUAUUCUUAAUGAACAAAUAAAAUCAAACUAACCAUAUGAUUUUGUUAGCUCACAUUGCUAGUUUUGUGGGGGAUUUGUUGUUUUUUUCCCAGACGUUUUUUACCCAGACGUUUAAAGAUAAUAUACUUCAGAGCAGUAAUCACAAUACCCUAAAACCGUGAAAUUUUUAUCAAAGGUUAUCAUACCGUCAGAAUCUUAUACCGGCCCAUGCCUAAUUCAUUGUAUAAAAAAUUGAAAUACUGAGGAAAUACACUAUUUAAAGUAAACUGAAUUUAAAUUAAUUGUGUGAAAUCUGACUUUUUAAGUGUUACAAAAAUCCCUCUGUCUACCCCGCAGGUGGGGUAAAUAGUACAUUUUUUUAUUCCUGGCACUUUUGGCAAUACUGCACAGAAACCAUAGAUCUGGCGACCGUACUUUCAGUGCUCAUUUGUAGGAGAGGCUUGGGCAUACUUGUUGGUAACCCCAUUACAUUCAUUCAUUCGUUUUCUUUUCAGAUUAGUCACUUUAUUAAUCUGGGGUCGCUACAGCGGAAUGAACCGCCAACUUAUCUAGCAUAUGUUUUUCGCAGCAGCUGCCCUUCCAGCUGCAACCCAUCCCUGGGAAACAUACACACUCAUUCACACACAUACAAUUUAGCUUACCCAGUUCACCCAUUUGUUUUUGGACUUGUGGGGGAACCCAGGCCUCCUGGAGGAACACAGAAUUGCCAACUGACCCAGCUCGAACCAGCGACCUUCUUGCUGUGAGGCGAUUGGGCUACCCACUGCGCCAUCGUACUGCCCCAUAACCCAAUUACUUUGUUAAUUAUUUGGCCAAAACCAAAAAGUGUUUGUGCCCCGCUCUCCCUUAACUCAUCCAAAACCUUUUUUACAAUCUUUCUGAAUGAAAUGCCUACUUCAAUACAUCCAAUCAGCUCGCAGUAGAAAAACAAGCCACGCCCACUGUCUUCUCAUUUAAUAUUCUGUUUCUCGCAGCUUCCGGUUCAUGUGGACUUUAACCACGCCCCUCUUACCGUUCAUUUACUACGAGAGAAUGAUGCACAAAAGAAAGCUCCACCCCCUACUUAAUAUUCCAUUUCAGUUGAAAGUACAUCAGCAUACUGAAAGUCUCAGCAACUUCCAGUUCAUGCAAACUUUAAGAUGAACACCUAAAGUUUUUCCAAAUCAGAUGAGAUUUCAGUGCAAGGGCACUGUGUUCAGAGCUUCCUUCCUCUUUUCCAAACAUAAACCUCCGAACCCUUCCUUAAUCCAGUCAUCCACUGGUGGGAGGCCGAACAUGACAGCAGACGGACAAGGCAAACACUGGUGGGGGUGGUGCUUGUGUUCCCUCUUUGUUCUGAUGGUGACCUCUUCAUUAUAGGGCCUUUGUCACCAUGUAAGGAUUAAGAGUGAAAGAGAGCUCUUCCCCUAUUAGUCAGGGUAAAAGCCUGCCUCCAAAUAAAACCCUCUUGGCAUCAGGGCAGUGAUCUUUUAAAACUUUUAUUUUUUAAAAAGAACUUCCCGUUCGUGUGUCCUGAUUUAAGCACACAGAGAUGGACUUCUGUAAAGUAAACCAGUUAUUAAAUAAAGUACUUCUUAAGUAGCUUAUCUCCGGCCAUGAUCAAUGACCCAAUUAUAAGGAAUUAAUUUAAUAUUCUCCAGAAAUAAAGUCAAAAAGCCUGCUGCUUAAUUAAUUUAACUGUUCGGUCAAACAAUGGAUGCAACUGAAAACGCAUUUGGUAUCAGCUAUCAGUCUUCUUAGACUAAGAAAUUGAUUUUCUUUUUCUUUCUCAGCUUGUGUGCGUAAUGACAAAUUGUUUGCCUUGGGUAAUCAAAUAUAUGAAUACAGUUGGUGUAUUUUAAGAUAUUGUAACUCGUGAGGCAACGUUGUUUUGUUUGCACAUAGUGUUGUUAUUAUUACUGUCUUAUUAUCAUGCUUUGCAAUAGUUUUAAUUAACACAGUGACAGCAUAAAUGCCAUGUGGCUAUGAGCAAACACAAGUGAGAGAGUGCGGAUAUUACUGUAUCGUGCAUUAUGCAGCCCUCUACUGGACAAUGAGACGAACAGCACAACUUAAAGCAAUUUAAAACAAAUAUUUUAAUAAGUGGAAAUUGUGUUUGCUCAGUUCAGUGUUUCAUUUUCUGGAUUGAUAUUUAACAUCUAUUUACAUAAAGUGAAACAAGUUUUAAAAAAGGGAUAAGGAAGAAUUUAUUUAGCAUUACUGGCUUUGUUUUCAGUAGUUUUACAUCUUACAAAGUACAUUCAGCACUAAGAAUUAAAAGAAAAGAGGGAAAAACACCAAAUUAUGUACAAUUUGUAAUUCAAAUAAUAAAGAUUGUAACAUUUUA